CCUUUUGAGUCUGGUUCCUCUCAAGGUUUCUUCCUCGUGUCAUCUGAGGGAGGUUUUCCUCGCCACAGGCUUGAUCAUUGGGGAUAGAUUAGGGAUAAAAUUAGGUCAUAUUUAAAGUCAUUAAAAUUCUGUAAAGCUGCUUUGCGACAAUGUCUAUUGUUAAAAUUGCUAUAAAAAUAAACUUGACUUAAAAGUGCUGCUUCGGACGAAUAAGAACCUUCUGAUUUCCUCCUGAUUUUCCGUCUCCUCAUUGGGCGGAGCGACUGAUAUGAGGAAGGAAAAAAGGUAAUGAUGAAGUGAUGAUCAGAUGAGAGCACAGGGAUUGUCAGGGUGAUUUCUCCUCACGUGGCGUCUGUUUAAUGACCUGUUUCUCCACAUGCUUUAAUAAUUCUCCACACUUCAUGUAAACUCCACAGAUGGGUUUCAAGUUAAUGUGGGUAAGUUUAUACAUUUCCAUCAUUUUCUGUCUUCUACAGUGUUUUCUCUCGAAUGUCAUUAUUUGUGCUGAUCAGCUUCAUGGACACGGAAUGAAACUCUUCUCAGAAUCAGCGUGUGGACUUUGGAGGCUGCAGGAGACAGAACUGAUUUAUUCCUGAUUUAUUAUGAACUCUGUGCUGUAAAUGUGAAAUCCUUUACAUCCUGAAUGAGUUCAGAACCAAAACAAAUAUACUGUAAAAAUAAUUAAAAGCUUUAUACAGGACAACAAGCCUUUAAUUCUAUUGGCAGUGUGUUUGUUUGGUUCUGAAUUCAUUUAAGAUUUAAAACAUUUCACAUGUAACUCAUGAUAACUUUCACCAAAACAUCACACUUCUGCUUUUAAUUGAAUAAAAACUACUUGACAGUAAUAACAGUCCAGCUGUUCCCUGGAUACCAGGAGUUCCCUCACAUUGGUGGGCGUGUCCUAGAAGAAUGGAGCACGUGCAGUUGUGUAAUCCUCCAGUUUCGGUUGAAAACAGGAAGAAUCGUCACAGACAAAACAGGAAGUGGUUCCACAGGUCACGUGUGUGAACAGAACAAACAGACAGACAGAGUGAAAUCCCAUCCUCUGUGAUGAUCAUCUGGUAAUACUUAGAAAGUUUGAGUAUGUCAUUGUGUCAUUACUUUACAGUAAAGUUUUGUGAGAAUAAAAAGCUCCUAGUGAUGUCAGACAGGAUGAUCAGACUCAGGCCUUACUGAAGAACUCUAAAUGAUUCACACGCAUUAAAUGCAGUCAGAGGGAAUUCCUGUCUAAAAAUAUCUCGAGAUAAGAAUGAUGAUGGUGUGAGUCACUGCAGUUAUUCAGAAUCGCAUCUCCUGAUCUCUUUGACAGAAUGACAUUUAUAUGUAGGAGGAACAUUUUGUAAUCAGUAACCUGUGUGUGUAAGUUUAACAGUUAUUCCCUGAAAUCGAGUUGUACAUGAGCUGAUGGGUGAUGAGGCGCGUAGCACCGAGAUUAAGUGGAAUAACUGUUUUAUUCUAUCCACAUUCACUGGAUUUUGAGAAACAGAGCAUUUUUAUUUUUUUGAAAAUUUGAUAAAAACUAUAUACAAAAUGUCUGACAAAAUCAUUUCUACUUAGAAUGUAAACAAAUCGGUGAAAUGACAGGAGCAAUUUGUGAAAAAUGCGAGAAUGAUAAUUCUUAAAUAAAAAAAGAUGUGCUUACCAUCAAAUACUUAUUCCAAAUAUUCCAUAUUUUGUUGCUGUUUUGUAUUGUUUGUGGUUUUGUUUUCGAGUAGAGUUUUUAUUUUGUCCUCGGUUGGUUCAGCAACACGCGCCACCAUUUUGUUUUUCUCUACUCACGGUAUAUGAGCCGAUAUCCUAGUAGUAGAGUAGCCAAUCAGAGCAUGCGAUUGCUCAUAUCCAGUGAAUGUGGACAGAAAUAUAUGAUUUAUUGUGUCAUUGUCCUGAUUUAUUGAUGUAAUAUAGGUGAAGUAAAUAUAUAUAUUUCAUCAUCAGAUUUAAAUCUUUAUCUUUUAGGACAUUCUCAAAAUUACUGCUGCAUCAUUUUUUUUCUCUGUCUCGUAUAUUGUCCCGUGUUCUCUCGGUGUUGUUGAUUUACUCUCUUUUUAUUUGUAUUAUUGUUUUUUUUUUAGGUUUUUAUUUUAUUGUAUUCGCUCAUGCUGCUAUGGCAGGAGUCUGAGCCAAAGAAUUUCACUCCUUAUACUUUUAUAAUGGACGGAACAACAGUAAACUGAACUUCACACAGUGUGCUGAUCUCAUCAACAGAGUCGUCUUUCAAUUUUGAGGCAAUUUAUUAUUUUUAACCCACAUUCUGUAACGUUCCUCCCUUUUUCUCUUUCUCCUCCUAUCAGUGUUGUACACAAAACCCAUUCUCAGAUUAUAAUAAUGCGGACUUGCUUGUGUUUCGUAUGUGUGAGUGGAGUGAUUGUUAGUGGUUUAAGUCAUUUUCUGAUGUUUAUGUUUUCACCUCGCUGUGACAUCAUCAGGAGUCUAAUUCCUGUCCUGGACUCCCAGACCAGUCUAGACAUAGUUCAGUCACUUCAAUAGUUCUUCAGUGACUCACGUCAUACCGCCGCUCCCUGCUUUUAUUACCUCACUGGGCCUGUUGUGCUCCUACACUGUAUGGGACACGCCCAAAAAAAACAGAAACUGUUGUUCAGACUCUAAAGUCGCCACUGUGAAUGUGAGAGAAGACGUUUCCUGUGUCUGUGAGUCUCAUCUGGAGAAAUAACAACAGCUGUGGCAGCGGGGGCAUGGUCAAGUGCCGGUCUGUGACAGGAGGGCAGAGUCAGGGAAGGUAAGUGGCAGAAUCACUACACCUGACAUGAAUUAACCUGUUUGUGUGUGUCUUCCCAGUGACCGCGCCCUACUUAAGGAGGGAGAGCGAGAGCAGAGGGGCUGAUCUCCGAACUAGACGCUUCUUAUGUUGAUGUGUGUCUGUUCAUUUGGAAGUUGUUAGACUGAAAAGUGUGGCAAUAAAGCCCUUUUGGAAACCUGA